rnacentral:rRNA from 1 species
UACAGAGGUCCCAAGCGUUGUUCGGAUUCACUGGGCGUAAAGGGCGCGUAGGCGGUCGGGUAAGUCUGAUGUGAAAUCUCACAGCUUAACUGUGAAACUGCAUUGGAUACUAUCCGGCUCGAGGAAUGGAGGGGAGACUGGAAUACUUGGUGUAGCAGUGAAAUGCGUAGAUAUCAAGUGGAACACCAGUGGCGAAGGCGAGUCUCUAGACAUUUCCUGACGCUGAGGCACGAAAGCCAGGGGAGCAAACGGG